rnacentral:rRNA from 1 species
AUUGAACGCUGGCGGCAGGCCUAACACAUGCAAGUCGAACGAGUGGCGGACGGGUGAGUAAUGUCUGGGAAACUGCCCGAUGGAGGGGGAUAACUACUGGAAACGGUAGCUAAUACCGCAUACCAUCGGAUGUGCCCAGAUGGGAUUAGCUAGUAGGUGGGGUAACGGCUCACCUAGGCGACGAUCCCUAGCGGGUCUGAGAGGUGGACCAGCCACACUGGAACUGAGAAACGGUCCAGACUCGUACGGAGGGAAGCAGGGGGGAAUAUUGGACAAUGGGCGAAAGCCUGAGGCAGCCAUGCCGCGGGUAUGAAGAAGGUCUUCGGGUGGUAAAGUACGUUCAGCGAGGAGGCGUUACUCGAAGAAGAAGCACCGGCUAACUCCGUGCCAGCAGCCGCGGUAAUUC